rnacentral:rRNA from 1 species
UAGGGAAUCUUCGGCAAUGGGGGCAACCCUGACCGAGCAACGCCGCGUGAGUGAAGAAGGUUUUCGGAUCGUAAAGCUCUGUUGUAAGAGAAGAACGUGUGUGAGAGUGGAAAGUUCACACAGUGACGGUAACUUACCAGAAAGGGACGGCUAACUACGUGCCAGCAGCCGCGGUAAUACGUAGGUCCCGAGCGUUAUCCGGAUUUAUUGGGCGUAAAGCGAGCGCAGGCGGUUGGAUAAGUCUGAAGUUAAAGGCUGUGGCUCAACCAUAGUAUGCUUUGGAAACUGUUCAACUUGAGUGCA